AGUUUGAUCCUGGCUCAGGAUGAACGCUAGCGGCAGGCCUAAUACGUGCAAGUCGGACGGGAUUGAGAAGCUUGCUUUUCAUGAGAGUGGCGCACGGGUGCGUAACACGUAUGUAACCUACCUUUGUCAGGGGGAUAGCCUCUCGAAAGAGAGAUUAAGACCGCAUAACAUCACGAAGCAGCAUUGUUUUGUGAUCAAAUAUUUAUAGGACAAAGAUGGGCAUGCGGGACAUUAGCUAGUUGGCGGGGUAACGGCCCACCAAGGCGACGAUGUCUAGGGGAUCUGAGAGGAUGGCCCCCCACACUGGUACUGAGACACGGACCAGACUCCUACGGGAGGCAGCAGUAAGGAAUAUUGGUCAAUGGGCGGAAGCCUGAACCAGCCAUGCCGCGUGCAGGAAGACGGCCCUACGGGUUGUAAACUGCUUUUGCAGGGGAAUAAACCUCGGUACGUGUACCGAGCUGAAUGUACUCUGAGAAUAAGGAUCGGCUAACUCCGUGCCAGCAGCCGCGGUAAUACGGAGGAUCCAAGCGUUAUCCGGAUUUAUUGGGUUUAAAGGGUGCGUAGGCGGCCUAUUAAGUCAGGGGUGAAAGACGGUAGCUUAACUAUCGCAGUGCCUUUGAUACUGAUAGGCUUGAAUGGACUAGAGGUAGGCGGAAUGUGACAAGUAGCGGUGAAAUGCAUAGAUAUGUCACAGAACACCAAUUGCGAAGGCAGCUUACUAUGGUUUUAUUGACGCUGAGGCACGAAAGCGUGGGGAUCAAACAGGAUUAGAUACCCUGGUAGUCCACGCCCUAAACGAUGAACACUCGAUGUUAGCGAUAUACAGUUAGCGUCUAAGCGAAAGCGUUAAGUGUUCCACCUGGGGAGUACGCCCGCAAGGGUGAAACUCAAAGGAAUUGACGG
rnacentral:rRNA from 1 species